AUCUGUAGGCUGCAUCUGGGUGAGGAUUUUUUUUUUUUUUUUUUUUUUGCCGUACGUGGGCCGCUCACUGUUGUGGCCUCUCCCGUUGCGGAGCACAGGCUCCGGACGCGCAGGCUCAGCGGCCAUGGCUCACGGGCCCAGCCGCUCCGCGGCAUGUGGGGUCUUCCCGGACCAGGGCACGAACCGGUGUCCCCUGCCUCGGCAGGCGGACUCCCAACCACUGCGCCACCAGGGAAGCCCCUGGCUGAGGUUUUGACCUCUGGUCUUGUUUAGGGAGAUUGGCUCCGGGGACAAUGGCUCUGAGGGGCACAUUCUAGUCCCAGCCUUUCUUGGGUCAUGCCUGGCUCUGGCUCUGUCACCUCUGCAGUUGUCUUGGGGUUGUGCCUUUGUUUCUGUUGUGUGUACAUGCCGUUUGUGUGUGCACAUGUGCGAGGUGUUGUGUGUGUAAAUUUCUCUGUGCACGCGCAUCUCUGUUUCUGUAUUUUUCUGUGUGUGUGUCUGUGUGUGUUUGUGGUGUACUGUCGUUUGAAGACUCUCAUUAUGUUUUUGUGUAGCUGUUUCUCUGUGGGUUUCUAUUUGUGUCUAUGCAAUUGUGUCCAUCUGUGCUUUGGUGUAUCUCUGUAUUGGUGCCUGUCUACGGGUUUGCAUCUAAAUGAUUUGUGUGAUGUCUUUCUGCUUCUUUUUUGCAUGUCAAUUUAUGCAUGGCUUUGUGUUUCUUCACAGAGAGGGGUUGGGAGAGAGGAGUUACCCUCUCUCUUGCAGAGAGACUUGUUCAGCCUUGUGGUGAGGAAACAAGAGGCACUGGUCCCAGCCUCGUGAAGGAGUCACGCUGCCUGGCUGUAUGUUCUUGGGCAAGUUGCUUCACCUCACCGUGCCUCAGUUUUCUCAUCUCUUAAGUAGGGAUAAUAACGUUACCUGCUUUAUAGGGUUGUUGCGAGGAUUCAUGAGUUAAUCCGUGUAAAGUUUUCAGUAGAAGACCUCUAAGUAGUAUGUGUUCUGUAAAUGUUAACUGUUGAUGAUAAUAAUGCAUGGUGCUCAUGUGUUUAUAUAGUAAGUAUAUAAUAAGUGUUUAAGCAGUAGCUAUUUUAAUGUUAUAUAGUAAGUGCUUAAGCAGUAGCUAUUUUAAUGUUACGAUCUCUCAUAUAAUCUCUCUUUCCUCACCUUGUCCUCUGAAAGGCACCAGGCUCUGACUUGAGCCACGAUUGACGGAGGCCCGAUGCUCCAUGAAAGUUGAGUGCUGGAGAUGUAGUAGAAGGUUGCCUAGCAACAGAGGUGUUAGGGUAGAUGGGAGCAAAUCCCUCAGUGGUUCCUGAGAGGAGGAAUGUGGGCAGGAUUGGACCUAUUUGAGGCAAAAUGGGAGGAGACUGACACGGGCCACCCUGAGAGUCAGACUGAGGAAUUUCUCAGUCCUGCUCCCAGAGCUUCUGGACAUAUUCCAUGUCUUUCUUUUCUCUUCUGCUUCUCACCUUCUCUUCCUUCUUCUCCUUUUCCUCCUUCCCUCUUCCUCCUCCUCCUUCCUCUUCUUUUACUGUGACUAUUAUUACUGAUAAUAAUAACAGCUAACCUUUUGAAGUGCCUCAUCGGUGCCAGGCACUGUCCUAAGCGUUCUGCAUGAACACACGUAAGCCUCACAACCCUAGGAGAUGCUCCUACUACUAUUCCACCUGACAGAUGAGGAAAUACCAAGAAGCCAGCUGGGAUUCUGGGGUGGAUAUUUCUCCCUGAGAAGAACACAGACGGCAAGGAGGGAUGCUCUUUUCUGCUCGAAUGUGCUUGUGCCAGGGCAAGAUGCUUGGAGAUGCCCCAGCUAUGAUAAGGUGCCAAUUUCCUUCCAGCAUUCCAGCAUUCCUCGCCAGACUCUCUGUCUCCCUGGAGGAGCCCCGAGAUGGUACCAUAAGAGCAAAAGCUGGAAAGUGGAAGACGUGAAAGAUUAGAAGAUGCAAGAGAAAAGGCCACGUGAGGACACAGUGAGAAAGCACUCAUCUGCAAACCAGAAAGCGAGCUAUCACGAGAAACCAACCUACCAGCACCUUGAUCUUGGAUUUCUAGCUUCCAGAAUUAUGGGAAAUACAUUUCUGUUGUUUAAGCUACCUUUUGGUUAUCGUGAAUAACGCUGCUAUGAACACAGGAUAUAUUACAUUUAUACAAUGUGUCUCCUCUCGACUGCAACAAUUUCUCAGACCCUCCUUGUUUUGAAUGACCUUGACCAUGUUGAGGAUUACCGGUCAGGUCCCUCAGUUGAGUAGUCACUUUAGAGUGUGUGGGCUGAAAAAACAAUGCGCAACGUGGGAACUGUGAGUCAAGUUUUAUUUGGGGCAAAAUGAGGACUGUAGCCCUGGAGAUAGCAUUUCAGAGAGCUCUGAGAAACUGCUCCGAAGAGGCGGGGGGAAGAGCAUGGGUGCCAUGGGGGUUCAGCUGAAGCUUUUUAAUCAUCAUUCUCUGGAGGCAAUCUCAUUCAACUGGAGGCAAGCCCUCUGGCGUUUCCUCGUGUUACCGCGUCCAAGCUUGUUCUGCUCCACGCACGACAGGCCAAUAAAUCGGGAGGUGUUGGAACAAGGAAUAACAACUUUAUUUGGAAUCUUUAACUGUGGUUCCAGCGACGGAUACAGAAAAGACUCAGCUGUUUCUGUGCCUUGACCGGAGGCAGUGAACCGACAGCUGCAAAACAACCAAAAUAAAGUGACCUUCUGAGGAAUGAACGAGCACUUGGUGCGCUGUGGGUUCCAGUCUCUCUUCGACAUAGGAAUGUGGUGAGGAUGUUUUCGCACUUCAAGCUUCAAGGGGGAAAAGCUUCAACUGAGCCACUCAGAGCACUAGUAUGGGGGGAGGGGCACGACCCAGAGAAGAAUGGGCUCUCGCUCACGUUUGGAACAUCUCAAGGGCUCAGGACUGUGCUGACA